CUGCUGCCUCCCGUAGGAGCUUGGGCCGUGUCUCAGUCCCAAUGUGGCCGUCCACCCUCUCAGGCCGGCUACUGAUCGUCGCCUUGGUGGCCGUUACCCCGCCAACAAGCUAAUCAGACGCGGGUCCAUCUUAUACCACCGGAGUUUUUCACACUGGGCCAUGCAGCCCCGUGCGCUUAUGCGGUAUCAGCACCUAUUUCUAAGUGUUAUCCCCCUGUAUAAGGCAGGUUACCCACGCGUUACUCACCCGUCCGCCA
rnacentral:rRNA from 1 species